UCCCACAGGAGAGAUGACCUGAGCUGGCCUGGUUUUUAUUUUUUUGAGUGGGUCCUGCAUGUAAAUGUCACAUAGAGUUAGGGGCAAUUGGUCCAACAAACGUGAGGAAAAUGGUGAAAGCCCUUCGACCUAACGAAAAUGGCACGGAAGGGCAUUUCUGUAAGGCCAGCUAACGACAAAGGGGCAAAUUUGAGCAUGCUUCGAAAUUA
rnacentral:lncRNA from 1 species